UAGCUGGAUGCAUUCAGUAAUUAGUGAGAGUUUCCAUGACAACUACCGAGCUAAACGUCCUGCUAACUGGUUCAAACGUGACCGCGUACGACUGAGCUUCUAAAACAAAAACUCUGCUGUUAAAACGUGCUAUUU